GUGCCGCACUCUGGAGAAGCCUGCAGGAGGCGGGUGCCGAAGGUGUAAGGCCGUUUGGGCCGAUCUCUCAGGCAAAAGGACAGAGCAAACGUC
rfam:Faecalibacterium prausnitzii L2/6 draft genome.